rnacentral:rRNA from 1 species
AUUGAACGCUGGUGGCAGGCCUAACACAUGCAAGUCGAACGAGUGGCGGACGGGUGAGUAAUGUCUGGGAAACUGCCCGAUGGAGGGGGAUAACUACUGGAAACGGUAGCUAAUACCGCAUACCAUCGGAUGUGCCCAGAUGGGAUUAGCUAGUAGGUGGGGUAAUGGCUCACCUAGGCGACGAUCCCUAGCUGGUCUGAGAGGAUGACCAGCCACAUUGGAAUGGGGACACGGUCCAGACUCCUACGGUAGGCAGCAGUGGGGAAUAUUGCACAAGGGGCGAAAGCCUGAUGCAGACAUGCCGCGUGUAUUAAGAAGGCCUUCGGGUUGUAAAGUACUUUCAGCGGGGAGGCGUUACCCGCAGAAGAAGCACCGGCUAACUCCGUGCCAGCAGCCGCGGUAAUUC